rnacentral:rRNA from 1 species
AACGAACGCUGGCGGCAGGCUUAACACAUGCAAGUCGAACGAGAAGCUUCUUCGGAAGUGGACAGUGGCAGACGGGUGAGUAACGCGUGGGAAUUUGCCCAGAGGUUUGGAACAACCAUUGGAAACGAUGGCUAAUACCGGAUAAGCCCUUCGGGGGAAAGAUUUAUCGCCUUUGGAUAAGCCCGCGUAAGAUUAGCUAGUUGGUGAGGUAACGGCUCACCAAGGCGACGAUCUUUAGCUGGUCUGAGAGGAUGAUCAGCCACAUUGGGACUGAGACACGGCCCAGACUCCUACGGGAGGCAGCAGUGGGGAAUAUUGCGCAAUGGGGGAAACCCUGACGCAGCCAUGCCGCGUGAGUGACGAAGGCCUUAGGGUUGUAAAGCUCUUUCGCUAGGGAAGAUAAUGACGGUACCUAGUAAAGAAGCCCCGGCUAACUCCG